CAAAGGCUUCAGGAAGGCUUCACUGCUUCAUUCAUCGGUGGUGGUGUGGUGGCGAGCGCUCAGUCGACAAGAAGAAAAGGGGUGUGAUGCCGCUACCGUGCUGUUCCUCGUCCCUCUACUUGCCUUUGUCUUAAAGCCAGCUGUUAAAUCAAUUAGACGCAUGGAUGACGGAGAGUGGCAGGACAACACGCGGCGAGGCGAUCAGAGGAAAGCUGUGUUGGAGAGAAGCGAGGCGAGGUGUGGGUUUGGCGUUGUGGCGGUGACGAGACCUUCACGACGCACUCAUUGAUGGUAAGGGGGGAAGGCGGACAUCGUGGUGGCGACGAGUCAGAGCAGAGAUGAUCGUCACACACAAGCUUUUUGCUAAGACACCUCCAGUGUCACCCUGAGAUGGACAAUCACCAAUAAUAUUCCAAGUGGAGUUACAGAGGUCAAGUAAAAAGGGAACAUGGAAUAUCAUCACUGUGGCCCGGCGAUGACUCAUGGCACUCAGUAAAACCUGUCACUCACACAAAGAAGAUGGGACAAAGGCAUCUCCACCAGGGGAGGAAAAAGUGACACCAUUGGAUUCCAAAUGUUGGUGACUUGCUUCAGCUGCAGUGGGUCCAUUUCUGGAGACACCAUCUCAGUGUUCAGACCACCUUUCCCCCUCCACACUGGAGGCAUCCGCUGCUGCUGCUGCUGCUGCAGCCACCCCCAUCUACGAUUCUAUAAAUAAAUAAAGUGUGUCAGACUCUGGACUUUACUCGCAACUGCGAGUAAUGAGCUUCCCAGUGUGCCAAGUCAAGGACUCCCCAACACAGUGACAUUAUUAUUAUUAGUGAUUUUUAAAUUUUGAUUUUUUGUGUUGACAUUUAUUAUUGAUUUUUUUAUGUUUGAAUUCAGUCCUAGUUGAUAUCCGGAGUGUCUUUGAGGUAUGAUGUAUCAUUUUUAACAUGAGGAUGAGGUUG